rnacentral:rRNA from 1 species
UACGUAGGGGGCAAGCGUUGUCCGGAAUCAUUGGGCGUAAAGAGCGCGUAGGCGGUCCGGUAAGUCCGCUCUGAAAGCCCGGGGCUCAACCCCGGGAGGCGGGCGGAUACUGUCGGGCUAGAGUCCGGAAGAGGAGAGUGGAAUUCCUGGUGUAGCGGUGAAAUGCGCAGAUAUCAGGAGGAACACCCGUGGCGAAGGCGGCACUCUGGGACGGUACUGACGCUGAGACGCGAAAGCGUGGGGAGCAAACAGG